ACCAGCCGUUGCCAUGGAGAAGGACGGCCAAUAGGGGAGGCCGGCGGUGGAGGGAGGAGCGACGGGGACAUUGACUCCCCCACCAUGAGAGAAGGAGAGGGAUGGACAAAUAGGAAACAGGGGCAUGAGGAGAAGAGGAAGGAGACGGGGGCAGGAGGAGAAGAGGAAGGAGAGGCCCUGCUCCGCUCCCCCGCCUCGAACCAGCCAUUGCCAUGGAGAAGGACGUCCAGUAGGGGAGGCCGGCGAUGGAGGGAGGAGCGGCGGGGACAGAAGCACCGGCCAUCGGGGACCUCUCGAGCCGUCGAGCGCGACCUUGAUCUGGUGUAGGGGAGCAGCAGCCGCAGGGGGCUCCAACCUCUUCUUCGCGGGAGGCGGCAGGCGCAGCUCCUCCUCUCUCCCCCCACACGACAGCGACCCCAACCCCCACCCCAGCCUUGUUUGGAGGAUAUCGUCAGAAUCAGCUUCCUUGAUAAUUAUGUCAAAAUUUCUGGGAUUUGUGAUUCUUAUCGAAUUAAGAGAUCAUCUGUUAGCCUGUCCCUAUUUAUGAUUUCAGAUUAUUUUGGUGCACUUCAGUUUCAGAAAUCCGAUCCGUCACCCCUACUCUGACCUCGAUGGACUAUUGUUGUCGUUGUCCUCUGCCUUGCCCAGGACAAUGAUGGCCGGGUGAGCCAGAGACAAGCUGAGGAUCAACUAGCAGUUCUUCCCAACGACAAGACCACAACAGCAACAGAUGACGAUGUAGUUGAGUUUUAUAACGGACCAGCUUCAGGCUUUUGUACUAAUUUCUUGAUUACCUCACCAUGAUUGUUGUAGUUUUGUCCUCACAGGAGAACCUUAUUUUCUUCAGAUCUAUAGGAUCAAGAUAUGCAAUUUCAAUUUUGUAAUUAUAUACACUGUUAACUUGAUGCAAUAAAGAAAGAAGUUCCACAAGCUCUUAAUUAUUGAAGUUACUUGUGUAGUCUGCAAUUUGAUAUUUUAACAUGUGCACUGCAAUUGGCAACACUUCGAACAAAACCUUCGGUUUCUUUUCUAAGGAAUAUGAUUGUUGCUUCUAGACAUGCCGCUAGGUAUAUAUGAUCCAUGUUUUCCAUUCCCCCUUUACUUUCUUUGUUUAGUUAUGCAUGUAGAAAAGCUCAUGUAUGAAUCUGACUUUAUUAUGCAGUCUCACACAAAGGAAGAGAGAAUAGAACUUGAUGUCAACGACCCUAGAGGUAUGGAAAUAAAAACACCAGAGUGAAACUCCAGAGCUCUGCAUCCAGAGCAACGAUGCCGGCACACACGCCAGUUCUUUGUUCAUCUCAGUCGGCGAUUAUUUCAUUUUGUCUACGGCGAUGGGGUAGCUUCCUCUGCUCCGUUCGUGUGUUUGACGUUUGUUCUUCUUCCAUCCUCUUCUGUCCUUUUGCUCGUCACAUUAUUCUUUCGACUUGUCCUUAGAUUUUUUUUCUCUACAGGUUUUGUGCUGUUUCUUUUGACAAGAUGUAUUUUUUAGUGACACUUUUCUAGAGAUUCUUCAUGUUAUCUUUAUGCUGGGCCUCAUAUAUGUUCAUGGUCAACUUGUGUCCAGAUUUCAGAGUAGUGUGGUAUAUUAUGAUUGUAGAGGUGAUCUCACCUACGCAUACCCUUUUUGGAUACAUCGUUACAGCUUGUUACAUUGUUCUCUGUUUCUAGAUGUCUGCAUAGUUUAUUUCCACUGGCUUAACUUGCAUUAACCCUAUUGUGGUAUAACAUCUUUGCCUGCUACCCCCAGCAAAAUUAUUCAAUGAGUCAAUACCAUCAAUAUGUGUGGUUAUAGAUUUAUUUCAUAGUGAUAAUCUAAAAUCGGGGACCUCCUAUAAUUGCCAGAUAGGUUCCGCACCACGUAUAAAAUGUACAUUACUCGGCAAGCAUGUUUAUUCAGUUCUUUCAGGAUGUAACAUGUGCUAUAGGUUGAUCGAUAUACAGUAAUGGGGGCAGGAUUCAUUGAACUUGCAUGUUCAGGAGGGCCCGUUAGAGAGAAAAAAUAUAUAAAAAAGCACUGUUUAUAGGAAAUUUAGGAGCAAAUCACUGAUUAGGGGGGCAGGUCCCCUGCCGACCCCCGUCUGCGCCACUGCCAAAAUAGAUACCAAUCUUGCAUUCUUUUUGCACAUGGACAACAAGUAAUCAUAUUUUUCAUGUCCCUGCCAAUCAGUUUUUUUAUUAGAUAGCAAUUAAAUGUUGAGAAGUAUAUGUGCUGAUUACUGGCUCAACAAAUUGGUUGCUAUAUAUUGACUGUAAGUCUCUUUUCUCAGGGACAACGUACUGGUCUGAAGGAAAGCCUUUUUUAUUUUUCAAGAUGAUGAACUGCAUUAUUUCUGGUCCUACUCUGCCUCUCAAUCAUUUCUUUAAACCAAGUUGAUGACCGAGCAAAUGCACUUCACAGAAGGAGAACGGACAGCCUUAGAUAACAUUGACUGUUCUUUUUGGAGCUCCUACAAAAUGAAGACAUCAUUAAAUCAAUCGUUGUUUUGUUCGACGUUGAAGAUGUCAGCUAAGAGGAUUUUGAGUACUAUUCUGCUCAUUCCAAAAGUAUGCAAGCCACACGAGGAGUGAUAUGAGAAAGAUGCUCUCAAACCGGAUCUCGGUAGUGAGAUGCAUGGAAGAGGAAAUCUAAGAUUAACCUAAACAAAAACUGCAUAUAGUGUAUAACGACUGCGACUGUCCAAGAUUGCAGUCUCUUCCAGAAUUUCAAUUGGUAAAAGCUCAUCCAUAAGAAAUGUGUAGCAGGGUAAAAGUCUGAUAUCUAUUGGUGAUCAGGCACUUUAUUUAUGAAGCAGAGAAAGCGAUCUAGCAUUUUAUUUGUGAAGAAGAGAAAGUGUAAGAAGGCAAGUGAGGUAUAUGUGCUCAAAAAGACAUGCUAUCAAAUGUUUCCAUGUUAUUGCUGAACAUUUUUUGGUCUUUAUCCAA